rnacentral:rRNA from 2 species
GGAAGUAAAAAGUCGUAACAAGGUCUCCGUAGGUGAACCUGCGGAGGGAUCAUUA